UACGGAGGGUGCGAGCGUUGUCCGGAAUCACUGGGCGUAAAGGGCGCGUAGGCGGCAUGCCAAGCGUGUGGUGAAAGCCCGGGGCUCAACCCCGGGUCGGCCGUGCGGACUGGCGUGCUUGAGCACUGUAGGGGCGGGUGGAAUUCCGGUGUAGCGGUGGAAUGCGUAGAGAUCCGGAAGAACACCGGUGGCGAAGGCGGCCCGCUGGGCAGGAAGGAAGCGCAAGCUUCCGGCUGACGCUGAGGCGCGACAGCGUGGGGAGCAAACAGG
rnacentral:rRNA from 1 species